UCAGCAGGGGUACUUCCGGUUGAUAUUGUUUACUCUGGUAACAAAACUGUCUUUAACAAAAUAUGCAUUUUGUGGCACGAAAGGUCGCGAUUCAGAUAAUGGAAAGAAAGGAGUGUAUAUCUACUUUGGAUGAUGUUAAAGUUCACCCUUUCCCAACCCUGGAACAAAAUGUCCACGCAGAGGAAACGAUGGCGUCAUUUGUUUAAACCACGAGUAGCAGAACAGUGCAGAAAAUUAGAGCGAUUACUACAUUCCGUAAAAGCUGAUCCAACACAGAAGCAUCCCUGUUCUAGCCAUUUCACCAUAUGAAAGGCGAAGAUAACAAACAGUGAUCCAAGUUUUAAGAAAAUCAAGAGAUUUGUACUGCCCUUUACAAAUAGAUACUUCGCGACAUUAAAAUAGGCCUAGUUGAUACCCUUAUCCACAUAGACUUGAGCAAUGUAUGCAUUUUACAAUGGUGAUCAUGUGACACUAAAUCGAUAGUAGAUUAUCAUAUAUCAGAGAAUUUACACUUCGAACUCAUGGUUUAGGCUCAUAGGCAAUUUCGGGGGGGGGGGGGGGGGGGGGUCAUAUAAUUAUAAUAUUGGGGGAUCUAUUCUUACAAAUCUAGAUUAGGAUUUGCAAUAAUCAUUCAUCCAAGCUCCAUACAGAUAGUUCAUUUACUUCCAAAUAAAUUUCAAUUCAUAUCAAAGAACUCUCAUUUAUCUUUGCUCCAACUUGACCAAGCAGUGUGCUUUGUAUACAUCAGAAUUUACAUGUACAUGUAUGUACACUUCCACUCAUAUUUAUGUGCUCUCCCACUUCUCAUUUAGUAAGAAAAAUGAGCAUGAUUUUCUUUCUUCAUAAUCUAUUCAACAUAUAUACACAGGUUGAUAACAAUGACUGUAAUCCUUAUGUUGACUGGAAUUAUUGACUGGUAUGCAGUAAAACAGCUGAAGGAAAGUUCAACUAUUAAUUCAUUUCAGCCUGGUAGUCUGGCAGUAUUAUAGGUAAUCUGGCAGUAAUGGCAUGACAUCAUGAGAGCUAAUCAACAUGGUUAAUGAUGUAUAGAGACACUGUCUGAAGACCUCGAGGGAAAGGCAAGGAAAAUGGAUGAUCCACUUCCUAUAUCCCUGUAAAAAAGAGGAAGGAUACCACAAUAUUGACGAUAAAUUAUUGUCAAUUCAAGAA